CGACCGGCAAACGGGUGCGGAACACGUACGCAACCUUCCUUUAACUGGAGAAUAGCCCCUCGAAAGAGGGAUUAAUACUCCGUAACAUGACGACCCCGCAUGGGGUUGUUAUUAUAGCUCCGGCGGUUAGAGAUGGGCGUGCGCCUGAUUAGGUAGUUGGCGGGGUAACGGCCCACCAAGCCUGCGAUCAGUAACUGGUGUGAGAGCACGACCAGUCACACGGGCACUGAGACACGGGCCCG
rnacentral:rRNA from 1 species